rnacentral:misc_RNA from 1 species
CCCUGCUGUCUUGAUUGUGGUUUGAAUAAUCCCGUUUCUUAUGGGUUGAGGUUGGAGCAAAUGCCAUCUUUCAUGACCAACUCAAUUAAGAAUCUAGUAAAUCAAAACUGGAUGGCAUUUGAUUCCAUUCAAGCACCUUUGUUUCUAUCUUCACUUGAUACUGUGCAACCAGUCGUACUACGACACUGCAGACUAUCAAGUGAAGAUAGAAACAAAG